UACGAGGGGGGCAAAUGUUGUUCGGAAUCACUGGGCGUAAAGGGCGCGUAGGCGGGUUUCUAAGUCAGGUGUUUAAUCCCGGGGCCCAACCCCGGACAGGCACUUGAAACUGGGAAUCUUGAAUAGUGGAGAGGUCAGUGGAAUUGGGGGUGUAGCGGUGGAAUGCGUAGAGAUCCCCAAGAACACCAGUUGCGAAGGCGGCUGACUGGACACAUAUUGACGCUGAGGCGCAAAAGCGUGGGGAGCAAACAGG
rnacentral:rRNA from 1 species